rnacentral:misc_RNA from 1 species
GAUGGAGAAUGUAGCGAAAUGCGAUACGUAAUGUGAAUUGCAGAAUUCAGUGAAUCAUCGAAUCUUUGAACGCAUAUUGCGCUCUCUGGUAUUCCGGAGAGCAUGCUUGUUUGAGUAUCAGUAAACACCUCAACUUCCAUAUCUUUUUUGAAAUGGGAGUUGGACUUGAGUGAUCCCAACGCUUUUCCUCACCGAAAAGUGGCGGGUUACUUGAAAUGCAGGUGCAGCUGGACUUUUCUCUGAGCUAUAAGCAUAUCUAUUUAGUCUGCCUAAAAAACAGAUUAUUACCUUUGCUGCAGCUAACAUAAAGGAGAUUAGUUCUUGUGCUGACUGAUGCAGGAUUCACAAAGACAGGCUUCGGCCGACUUUGUAAACUCGAUCUCAAAUCAAGUAAGACUACCCGCUGAACUUAAGCAUAUCAAUAAGCGGAGA